ACCUGAGCUCCUUCAGGACCCAAAUUUAGAAUCCAACUUUUGAAAGAGUGGCUGAAUUGGACUGGAGAAAAAGACAUUGGCGAUGAAGAGGUUUAUUUAGAAUUCAUGCUAAUUCUUUGAAGUCUGGAGUAAAGGUGGAUGAGAUGCUCAGGGAUGUCUUAUGAGCCAUGUAAUGAAGACGACAGGUCUCUGUUAGAGAACGCCUCACUUCCAACCCCUGCCCUGGGGCAACUGGAUGCAGC